rnacentral:rRNA from 1 species
CCUACGGGAGGCAGCAGUCGAGAAUCAUUCACAAUGGGGGAAACUCUGAUGGUGCGACGCCGCGUGGGGGAAUGAAGGUCUUUGGAUUGUAAACUCCUGUCAUGUGGGAGCAAAUCAAAAAGCUAGUACCACAAGAGGAAGAGACGGCUAACUCUGCGCCAGCAGCCGCGGUAAUACAGAGGCCUCAAGCGUUGUUCGGAAUCACUGGGCGGAAAGGGUGCGUAGGCUGUUUCGUAAGUCUUGUUUGAAAGGCGCGGGCUCAACCCGCGGACGGCACAUGAUACUGCGAGACUAGAGUACAGGAGGGGGAAGCGGAAUUCGCGGUGUAGCAGUGAAAUGCGUAGAUAUC